rnacentral:rRNA from 1 species
AUACGGAGGGUGCAAGCGUUAUUCGGAAUCACUGGGCGUAAAGGACGCGUAGGCGGGAAGCCAAGUCUGAUGUGAAAUCCUAUGGCUUAACCAUAGAACUGCAUUGGAAACUGGUUACCUAGAGUAUGGGAGGGGGAGAUGGAAUUAGUGGUGUAGGGGUAAAAUCCGUAGAUAUCACUAGGAAUACCGAAAGCGAAGGCGAUCUCCUGGAACAAUACUGACGCUAAGGCGUGAAAGCGUGGGGAGCAAACGGGAUUAGAUACCCGAGUAGUCC